UACGGGGGGGGCAAGCGUUGUUCGGAAUUACUGGGCGUAAAGGGCUCGUAGGCGGCCAACUAAGUCCGACGUGAAAUCCCAAGGCUUAACCUUGGAACUGCGUCGGAUACUGGAUGGCUUGAAUUCGGGAGAGGGAUGCAGAAUUCCAGGUGUAGCGGUGAAGUGCGUAGAUAUCUGGAGGAAUACCGGUGGCGAAGGCGGCAUCCUGGACCGGCAUUGACGCUGAGGCGCGAAAGCCAGGGGAGCAAACGGG
rnacentral:rRNA from 1 species